GAGACUCAAACAGCUCAGUAAUGCUUCUGCUGUUGAUUACUGCAUCUAAGACAGGAAUCUUAAAUGCUUCACCUGUACAGACGAGCUUAUCUCAAUGUAGGAGCCAGAAGAAAGAUAAAGAAAAGUGAGAGAAAGACUAGUAGGUAACAGGAGGAAUGAGAAGAAUGAGUAGAGAAGUGGGGAGACAAAAAAUAAAUCAAGAUAAAUAGCAUAAAUGAAUGUGGACAGAGAUUGAAGGAAAGAGAAAUAUAAGAAGACAAGAGGAGGGGAAAUUGAGGUUAAAAUAAAGGUGAGGGCACAGAAUCUGAGAGCUUCAGAAUACUUCAGAUUACAACGUUCUAACAUUUACUCUUUGCUGGGGAAAGUAAGCAG
rnacentral:lncRNA from 1 species